rnacentral:lncRNA from 1 species
AUGUUUAAAAGAGUUCAGAUGAUUGACAGUUCUGAUGCAAAGCAUGUAGAAGCCACUAGGAAGCCGGAAGCUGAAAGCCGAAAGCCGGAUUUGUAGACCAGUAUAGUGUACCCUACAAGUUCUACUCCUUAAGGGAGUUGUUAUUGUACAUGCAUGUACAUGUACUUGAGUGCCAUAAAAGGGCAUCAGAUCCCAUUACAAAUGGUUGUGAGUCACCAUGUGGUUGCUGGGAAUUGAACUCAGGACCUCUGGAAGAACAGCCAGUGCCCUUAACUGCUGACCAGUCUCUCCAGUCCUGGAUGAGAAAGGUUUUUUUCUUUUUUGUUUUUUUUUUGUUUUUUGUUUUUUUUUUUCGAGACAGGGUUUCUCUGUAUAGCCCUGGCUGUCCUGGAACUCACUUUGUAGACCAGGCUGGCCUCGAACUCAGAAAUCCGCCUGCCUCUGCCUCCUGAGUGCUGGGGUUAAAGGCGUGCACCACCACGCUCGGCAAGAAAGUUUUAAAGUUGGUCCUAUACCACUCUUGGGACAUACAGAAACACAGCUGAAUCCUAGGUCAUGAUAAUGUAUAAACGUAAUCCUGGGGCUGGGGAUAAGGCUCAGGGAGUAAGAGAGUGUAUGGCCUUUCAGAGGACCUGGCUCGCUCCUUGGAGGUUACAGUGAUGAGUGCUCUAGUCCCAGUGGAUCUGAUGCCCUCUGGCCUCAAUAGGUAUUGUAUCACAUGGGGCACAGGUGUGCAUACAGGCAAAUCACCUGUACACAUGAAAUAAAAAUAAAUCUUAAAGAACUAAAAAUUCUGAAGCCAUGCAAGUGCUUAAUCAUUUAGACUUUGUGGCAUUACUAAAGUGCUUGGGAACUUGGAUAAACUGAGGAGCACAGAGUUGUAGCCAAGAGAACCAUUGGGUCUUAAAAGUGACUGGCAGGAUUCCUGAAGGUGACCAUGGAGACUACUGUAGCUAAGGGCAUGGCACAGGAAAGCGGCAAAAAGAGGCUCUGUCCACUGAGGCUUGGCAUAGUGGUACAGAGUAACUGAAGGUAGAGGGGAACACUGGGCCAUGACCCUGCAGCCCUCCACAGUUUCUUCUCAGACAUGAAAUGGGCUAAUGGUGUCAAGUUCCCAGUGUGGGGCUGCUGUGCAGGAAGUGCUCAGUAAAGAGAACUGCUGCUCUGUGAAAGAAGAGGGGGGUGUGGCAAACAGGAGGUUUAUGCUUGGAUUAGGACAGGAGAAAGCUGUCAAGGGGAAGGUUAGGUUAAAGCUGAGUGUGCACUUCACUUUGCAAGGUUGAAAGUCGAAACUUUCCCUUUCUGCUAGAUGGCCUGGAGCUGGGAAGCCAUCUACCAGAGAGUAAUGACCUCUUGAAUCGGGGCAGAGGCUGGCUCAGGAAGUGACAUCUGCUAUUAGUAUCACACGCACAGUGGAGAGGAAGUAGGACAGAAAUACACAGAGCUAGGUGAUUGGCUGUUGAGAGGAGACAAUCUGGGAGACAGCCAUGCUGCUUGAACUGGCAGACUGUGGUGGCCUUCUCUUCUGCCUAGGCUAGAUUCCAGAGAUCUCGAGUACCAUACAUAGUAGAGUCCAUGAAGUAUUAGAAAAGGGACUUCUGUAUAUGGAGAGUCAGUUCAGGCUUCACAGUAACUCUGCUUGGGGUAGGUAGCGCAGCACUAGUAUGUAUGCCAUUAGGGGGGAGGAGCUUUCACUGAAGAGUAGCCUGAGGCAGGAGAGAGCAAGUGUCUUAGGGUCCAGCUGUGUGGUCCUGAGUUCAAUUCCCAGCAACCACAUGGUGGCUCACAACCAUCUGUAAUGGUAUCUGAUGCCCUCUUAUAGCACACAGGUAUGCAUGCAUAUAGAGUACUCCUAUACUUUAAAUAAGUUUUAAAAAACAAAACAAAACAACAACAACAACAAAAAUACCUUUCUCAUCCAUCUUUCUUGUUAAUUUUUGGGGGUAAGGAUGACUGUGGUUUUGAGAUAGGGGUGCAAAAUGUAGCCCUGACUAUCCUGGAAUUGCUCUGUAGACCAGCCUGGCCUGAAAUUCAGAGAUCACCUGCUUCUGUCUUCUGUCUCCCAGAUGCUAGGAUUAAAGGUGUGUACCACCACUGCCUGACUCCAAUUGUUAGUUUAAACAAACAAAAACAAAAGUUAGACAGGCCAGCCUAGUCCACAGAGAAACCCUGUCUCAAAAAGUCAAAAAACC